ACCUGUGUUUUAGAAAGUCACCUGGAUUGGGUUUUCCCACGAUUGUGUGAGACAUGCCUCCCUCAAACCUUGCUAUGAAGUUGGCACAUUACCCAUCUAUA